ACCCUCCUAACAGCUAGCCUCCCCCUCCAAAAACAACAAACAUCAUUAAUAACCCCUUAUUAACAACACAAAUUACAACAAACCAUUUUACCUCCUUAGUAUGGGCGACAGAAAA
rnacentral:rRNA from 1 species